rnacentral:rRNA from 1 species
GUGGGGAAUCUUGCGCAAUGGGCGAAAGCCUGACGCAGCCAUGCCGCGUGAAUGAUGAAGGUCUUAGGAUUGUAAAAUUCUUUCACCGGGGACGAUAAUGACGGUACCCGGAGAAGAAGCCCCGGCUAACUUCGUGCCAGCAGCCGCGGUAAUACGAAGGGGGCUAGCGUUGCUCGGAAUUACUGGGCGUAAAGGGAGCGUAGGCGGAUAGUUUAGUCAGAGGUGAAAGCCCAGGGCUCAACCUUGGAAUUGCCUUUGAUACUGGCUAUCUUGAGUAUGGAAGAGGUAUGUGGAACUCCGAGUGUAGAGGUGAAAUUCGUAGAUAUUCGGAAGAACACCAGUGGCGAAGGUGACAUACUGGUCCAUUACUGACGCUGAGGCUCGAAAGCGUGGGGAGCAAACAGGAUUAGAUACCUAGUAGUCC